rnacentral:rRNA from 1 species
UACGGGGGGGGCAAGCGUUAUUCGGAAUUACUGGGCGUAAAGGGCGCGUAGGCGGUGUGUCAAGUCAGGCGUGAAAGCCCCGGGCUCAACCUGGGAACCGCGCUUGAGACUGGCACGCUCGAGUUCGGGAGAGGAUGGUGGAAUUCCCAGUGUAGAGGUGAAAUUCGUAGAUAUUGGGAAGAACACCGAUGGCGAAGGCAGCCAUCUGGACCGACACUGACGCUGAGGCGCGAAAGCGUGGGGAGCAAACAGG